UACAGAGGCCUCGAGCGUUAGGCGGAAUCACUGGGCUUAAAGCGCGUGUAGGCGGAUCGUUAAGUGUCUUGUGAAAUCCCACGGCUCAACCGUGGAACUGCUGGGCAUACUGGCGAUCUUGGGCCACUCAGGGGCGACCGGAACAAGCGGUGGAGCGGUGAAAUGCGUAGAUAUCGCUUGGAACGCCAAAGGUGAAGACAGGUCGCUGGGGGUGUGCCGACGCUGAGACGCGAAAGCCAGGGGAGCAAACGGG
rnacentral:rRNA from 1 species